rfam:Brachypodium distachyon strain Bd21 chromosome 5, whole genome shotgun sequence.
UUACUACUACCUCCGUUCCAUAAUCCUUGUCUCAAAUUUGUCCAAAAAUGGAUGUAUCUAUUACUAAAAAGCUCCGUUCCAUAAUUAUUGUCGAAAUAUUACAAGCAUCUAGACACCUUUUAGGAAUAGAUACAUCCAUAUUUGGACAAAUAUGAGACGAGAAUUAUGAAACUGAGGGAGUAAGAA